rnacentral:rRNA from 1 species
CGCGGCCUAUCAGCUUGUUGGUGGGGUGAUGGCCUACCAAGGCGACGACGGGUAGCCGGCCUGAGAGGGUGUCCGGCCACACUGGGACUGAGAUACGGCCCAGACUCCUACGGGAGGCAGCAGUGGGGAAUAUUGCACAAUGGGCGCAAGCCUGAUGCAGCGACGCCGCGUGGGGGAUGACGGCCUUCGGGUUGUAAACCUCUUUCACCAUCGGCGAAGCCCAUAGCUUGUGUUGUGGGUGACGGUAGGUGGAGAAGAAGCACCGGCCAACUACGUGCCAGCAGCCGCGGUAAUACGUAGGGUGCGAGCGUUGUCCGGAAUUACUGGGCGUAAAGAGCUCGUAGGUGGUUUGUCGCGUUGUCCGUGAAAUUCCCUGGCUUAACUGGGGGCGUGCGGGCGAUACGGGCAGACUGGAGUACUGCAGGGGAGACUGGAAUUCCUGGUGUAGCGGUGGAAUGCGCAGAUAUCAGGAGGAACACCGGUGGCGAAGGCGGGUCUCUGGGCAGUAACUGACGCUGAGGAGCGAAAGCGUGGGGAGCGAACAGGAUUAGAUACCCUGGUAGUCCACGCCGUAAACGGUGGGUACUAGGUGUGGGUUUCCUUCCUUGGGAUCCGUGCCGUAGCUAACGCAUUAAGUACCCCGCCUGGGGAGUACGG